GACGAACGCUGGCGGCGUGCUUAACACAUGCAAGUCGAACGCUGAAGCUCAGCUUUUGUUGGGUGGAUGAGUGGCGAACGGGUGAGUAACACGUGAGUAACCUGCCUCCUUCUUUGGGAUAACGCCCGGAAACGGGUGCUAAUACUGGAUAUUCACUGGUCUUCGCCUGGGGGCUGGUGGAAAGGGUUUUUCUGGUGGGGGAUGGGCUCGCGGCCUAUCAGCUUGUUGGUGGGGUGAUGGCCUAACAAGGCGUUGACGGGUAGCCGGCCUGAGAGGGUGAACGGGAACAUAGGGACGGAGAUAAGGCCCAGGGUAGGACGGGGGGCGGAAGUGGGGAAUAUGGCAGAAUGGGCGAAAGACUGAUGCCGCGACGGCGCGGGAGGGAUGGAGGCCGUCGGGUUGUGAAACUCGUGCGCACAUGGUCAAGCCGCAACAAUGGUUGUGGUGAGGGUAGUGGGUAAAGAAGCGCCGGCUAACUACGUG
rnacentral:rRNA from 1 species